rnacentral:lncRNA from 1 species
GUUCCUCACAGGUGAUUUCAACGAAAUCAUAGACAAUUCAGAGAAGUGUGGGGGGGGCCUGAGAGAGCGGAAGGCUCUUUUUGUGCUUUCAGAACGUUUCUCUCUAAGCAUGACUUAUUUGACUUGAAGCUUUGUGGAAGUUUUCUAUCUUGGAGAGGGAAAAGGCAUACUCACCUGGUCCAAUGUAGACUAGACAGAGCGCUAUGCAACACUGAAUGGUCAGACCUUUUCCCUUCCUGCCGCAGUCAAUAUCUCCGAUAUGAGGGGUCUGAUCACCGGCCCCUAAUCUCCUUCCUGGAUACGAGAAAAAAGAG